rnacentral:rRNA from 1 species
GCCAUGCCGCGUGUGUGAAGAAGGCCUUCGGGUUGUAAAGCACUUUCAGUUGUGAGGAAAAGUUAGUAGUUAAUACCUGCUAGCCGUGACGUUAACAACAGAAGAAGCACCGGCUAACUCCGUGCCAGCAGCCGCGGUAAUACGGAGGGUGCGAGCGUUAAUCGGAAUUACUGGGCGUAAAGCGCACGCAGGCGGUUUGUUAAGCUAGAUGUGAAAGCCCCGGGCUCAACCUGGGAUGGUCAUUUAGAACUGGCAGACUAGAGUCUUGGAGAGGGGAGUGGAAUUCCAGGUGUAGCGGUGAAAUGCGUAGAUAUCUGGAGGAACAUCAGUGGCGAAGGCGACUCCCUGGCCAAAGACUGACGCUCAUGUGCGAAAGCGUGGGUAGCGAACAGGAUUAGAUACCCUGGUAGUCCACACCGUAAACGCUGUCUACUAGCUGUUUGUGACUUUAAGUCGUGAGUAGCGAAGCUAACGCGAUAAGUAGACCGCCUGGGGAGUACGGCCGCAAGGUUAAAACUCAAAUGAAUUGACGGGGGCCCGCACAAGCGGUGGAGCAUGUGGUUUAAUUCGAUGCAACGCGAAGAACCUUACCUACACUUGACAUGCAGAGAACUUUCCAGAGAUGGAUUGGUGCCUUCGGGAACUCUGACACAGGUGCUGCAUGGCUGUCGUCAGCUCGUGUCGUGAGAUGUUGGGUUAAGUCCCGCAACGAGCGCAACCCUUGUCCUUAGUUGCCAGCAUUCAGUUGGGCACUCUAAGGAGACUGCCGGUGACAAACCGGAGGAAGGUGGGGACGACGUCAAGUCAUCAUGGCCCUUACGUGUAGGGCUACACACGUGCUACAAUGGCAUUUACAGAGGGAAGCGAGACAGUGAUGUGGAGCGNACCCUUAAAGAAUGUCGUANUCCGGAAUGGANUCUGCAACUCGA